UCCGAUUUACACCGGCGGUCUCCUGUGAGUUCCCAUCUUUCAUGCUGGUAACACAGGACGAGGGUUGCGCUCGUUGGCGGACUUAACCGUACACCUCACGGCACGAGCUGACGACAGCCAUGCAACAAGUGUCUUCACGUCCCCUUGUGGGGGAGGAGCGUAUUUCUACGCUUUGCGAUCGAUGUCAAGUCUGGGUAAGGUUCUUCGGUUAGUAUCGAAUUAAUCCACAUGCUCCACCGCUUGUGCGGGUCCCCGUCAAUUCAUUUGAGUUUCAACCUUGCGGUCGUACUCCCCAGGCGGGGUACUUCCUGCGUUAGCGCCGGCACCCAGAGGGUCGCUCCCCCAGGCACCUAGUACCCAUCGUUUACGGCGUGGACUAC
rnacentral:misc_RNA from 1 species